rnacentral:rRNA from 1 species
UUGAGCGGAGAUUAUGGAGCUUGCUUUAUAUAACUUAGCAGCGAACGGGUGAGUAACACGUAGAUAAUCUAUCCUAUACUGGGGGAUAGCCCGAUGAAAGUUGGAUUAAUACCGCAUAUAGCUAUAUAGUUGCAUGAUUAUGUAGUGAAAGAUUUAUUGGUAUAGGAGGAGUCUGCGGCACAUUAGCUAGUAGGUGAGGUAAAGGCUUACCUAGGCGACGAUGUGUAGCCGGUCUGAGAGGAUGAACGGCCACAAUGGAACUGAGACACGGUCCAUACUCCUACGGGAGGCAGCAGUGGGGAAUAUUGCACAAUGGGGGAAACCCUGAUGCAGCAACGCCGCGUGAAUGAAGAAGGUUUUCGGAUUGUAAAGCUCUGUUAGCAGGGAAGAGGAAGGACGGUACCUGCAGAGGAAGCCACGGCUAACUACGUGCCAGCAGCCGCGGUAAUACGUAGGUGGCAAGCGUUGUUCGGAAUAACUGGGCGUAAAGGAUGCGUAGGCGGUUAAACAAGUUAUAUGUUAAAUAUAUAGGCUUAACCUGUAGAAAGCAUAUAAAACUGUUUAACUAGAGUGCAGGAGAGGUAAGUGGAAUUCCUAGUGUAGCGGUGAAAUGCGUAGAGAUUAGGAAGAACACCAGUGGCGAAGGCGACUUACUGGACUGUAACUGACGCUGAGGCAUGAGAGCAUGGGGAGCAAACAGGAUUAGAUACCCUGGUAGUCCAUGCUGUAAACGAUGGGUACUAGGUGUGGGUUGUGAAUAACAAUUCGUGCCGUCGCANACGCAAUAAGUACCCCGCCUGANGAGUAC